GUUUCAUUUAAAAUUAUUAUAGAAUUUUAUUUUUUAGUAAAAAAGCUAAAAUUUUAUUAAAAGACGAGAAGACCCUAUAAAUCUUUAUAAUUUUAAUUAUUUUAAUUUAUUUAGAUAUAUUUUAUUUUAAUAAUUAAAAUUAUUUUAUUGGGGUGAUAUUAAAAUUUAAAUAACUUUUAAUUUAUAGAUUUCAUAAAUAAAUGUUUUGUUGAUCCAUUUUUAAUGAUUAUAAAAUUAAGUUACUUUAGGGAUAACAGCGUAAUUUUUUUUGAGAGUUCUUAUUGAUAAAAAAGUUUGCGACCUCGAUGUUGGAUUAAGAUAUAGAUUUAAAUGCAGAAGUUUAAAUUUUAAGUCUGUUCGACUUUUAAAUUCUUACAUGAUCUGAGUUCAAACCGGUGUAAGCCAGGUUGGAAACUAUCUUUAAUUAAAUAAAAUAUUUUAGUACGAAAGGAUUGAAUAUUUGAAUUAUAUAAUUUUUUAUUAAGAAU
rnacentral:rRNA from 1 species